UACGUAGGGGGCAAGCGUUGUCCGGAUUUAUUGGGCGUAAAGAGCGUGUAGGCGGCCAAGCAGGUCUGCUGUGAAAACUCGAGGCUCAACCUCGAGCUGUCGGUGGAAACCGUGUGGCUAGAGUCCGGAAGAGGAGAGUGGAAUUCCCGGUGUAGCGGUGAAAUGCGCAGAUAUCGGGAAGAACACCCGUGGCGAAGGCGGCUCUCUGGGACGGUACUGACGCUGAGACGCGAAAGCGUGGGGAGCGAACAGG
rnacentral:rRNA from 1 species